UCCAAUUUCAGGAAUUUAUGUUAGAAACUGAAAAUUAAAAAACUUUCAAAUUUCUGAAUUAAGAAAUUACUGCCUGCAAGUGCACAGCACUUGUACUUUUAUUCAUCGUGCCUUUGCCCACCACUAUUUUAUAGUGUAAUGAUUAAAAUCUUGAUAGGGGUGUACCCUAUUCAUAGUGAAUUUUACACUUAUGUAAAGAUAUGCUAGUCACUACGGUAUUCAACGUGUUAAAGAAGUUAAAAGGUUGAAGAAUGAAAAACAAUAAGCAAAGCGCUUAAAAUAUAAGAUAGCAGAUCAAACGAAUACAUGGAUGACACAGGCCGUGAAGGGUUCCAAGAAGACGAUACAGAAGUUUUGCAUGGACCAACAGGCGCUGUUUCUUACGUGUAUAUUUUAUCGGAGAAUCCAGCUGCCGUGGUUCAGUUUCUCGGCUUGUCCAGUCGGCGUGUGUGUGCUAAGUUUUUUGCGUGCGUCCUCUGUGCGCGUGUGCGUAAAUGUGAUUACCGGUUUUUCAAACAGAGACGUCGUCAGCACAACAGGAGGCGGGCAAUGACGGAAAAGGAAAAUAUGGAAAGAUAUACAAAUUCCUCGACAUAGUACAAAGCAUUUAAACUCCUCUUUUUCCAAUAGCCUAGGGAUAUAAUAAGUACGCAUACAAAAUAAGUCAUUAACGCGUAAAAUAGGUAUCUACCGAGUAGCCGGAGAGUCCGCGACGUACAUGAAGUUUUCUUUUCUUCUUAUAAGCAAAGCUUAUCCGUACUCGAUAAUGUAGACAGACGUGUACCCAAUUGUACUGAUGAUUCUUCCUACGGUAUAGCGAUUACUUGAUUCAUGCUUAAGAAGUGAUGUUUUAAACAAAUCCGUAAUCUCUUUUUUGAUAUAAAAUGUAUGAAAUUACAAGAAUCGUUUUCAUGAAAUAUGUGGUUAUCAAAGUGUUAACAUUUUUUAGACAAACAUAUACGAAAUAGUAUUUUUAUUACACAGGAUAUAACAACAUUAAAUGUUGUGGUAAGAGUUUUGUCUAGCCAAGUUCGAAAGCUAAAAGAUUUUUUGAACACUUGUCGAAAAUCAGUAACGCAAUACUAACUACGAUUUCUACGACAGUUUCCGAGGAAACUGCAAAAGGCUGACGUUUUAUAGGUUAUCCGAAAUAGCGCGGACUCGCGAAGUAGUUUACAUAGAACCCGAUCAAAUGAUGAAAGUUUGGCGACUUCAGUAGCGGUGUUCUCGAAUGAAAUGAUUUUUUGAAUUUAAACGAACUGACGCUGCCGCGACUGCAGUCAGCGAACGAGUUUUACGACGACGGAAGAAAUCAUUUUACACAGUUGAAUGUAUGUACUUACUUUGCCGUAAAAUAGUGCGAUGAGAAGAACGUCGUUCUUCUUAUGAUUAGAAUCUAAGCAUUCCUGGUUGUGGAUUUUCCGGACAUCCGAUAGAUAAUAAAGGGAAGAGAAACAAAGGAAAAAUAGUCAUUUGCAAACGCAUUUUACUCGGCGUACAGGAGACAAGCAAUUUUUCUUUGAAUUCGUCAUUAUUUUCGGUUUUUGUUUCUCUUGGAAACAUUUGUACCGUAGUCUUCCAGGGUACAAAGGAAAAUAAUAAAAUAUGCCAUUUGUUUGUCGUGUGUAAAUCAAAAGAGAAAAAACAGACGAGAAGAAAGAGGGAGGGGGGAGAGAUAGGGAUAUAAACGGGACGAGAGGAAAAUAAGAUGAAACAAGAAAGAAAAAAAGUAAUAAGAGAAAUUGUGGAUAAUUAUGCGAACCCUUUGAUGAUCUCAGCGUUUUAUUUUUGUAUAGAGUGCAUGAAAAUGUGUAAUCUUCAAGAACGUAAGACGAGGAAAUUGAGAUACGGUUUGAAAAACAAAGCAAGACUUACAAUGGUAGUUUGAGAACAAGAAAACGUAUAAAGGAGAAAUGUAGGUAUAAAUACAGACAGACGAAUUUAGGUUGCAAGGAUAGAAGUUUAAAGUUUGUAAACAUUUUUUUGAACAUUUCCCAGUGCUGCUUUAUGUAAUACUCUAUAUAUAAAACUUGUAUGAAAAGUCAUCUGAGAAAAUUA